UAGGGAAUCUUCGGCAAUGGACGAAAGCCUGACCGAGCAACGCCGCGUGAGUGAAGAAGGUUUUCGGAUCGUAAAACUCUGUUGUUAGAGAAGAACAAGGACGUUAGUAACUGAACGUCCCCUGACGGUAUCUAACCAGAAAGCCACGGCUAACUACGUGCCAGCAGCCGCGGUAAUACGUAGGUGGCAAGCGUUGUCCGGAUUUAUUGGGCGUAAAGCGAGCGCAGGCGGUUUCUUAAGUCUGGUGUGAAAGCCCCCGGCUCAACCGGGGAGGGUCAUUGGAAACUGGGAGACUUGAGUGCAGAAGAGGAGAGUGGAAUUCCAUGUGUAGCGGUGAAAUGCGUAGAUAUAUGGAGGAACACCAGUGGCGAAGGCGGCUCUCUGGUCUGUAACUGACGCUGAGGCGCGAAAGCGUGGGGAGCAAACAGG
rnacentral:rRNA from 1 species